ensembl:ncRNA lncRNA:cherub cherub
UUUCAUUUCAAUCUUCAAACGCUGAGGAUCAACAGCAGCAGCAGCACCAGCAGCAGUAGGAGCCGCACAGGAGCAACAGAAGCACCAGGAUCGAGGACUCCUCGCAGCGCCAUGUCCAGGCGGCGCUAAGGAGGCUGUUGCAGCAUCUCCACACCGACAGAAGAACAAAAUCAACCAAAUCCACCGCAGCAAGCCCAACAAAAUUCAGUCGAAAAAGUUGCAAAAAUUCUACCGCCGAAUGUCAGAUUAAUUUGUAUAAAAAGAAACCCAAGUACCAACAAGCCAAACGAACAAUUUGCGAAAAUUGUUAAUGUGAAACUUACACAUUUUCGUGAUAUGGUUAAAGUAUAACAUAAAUACUAAACACAACAAGGCAAAAGCCUAAGUUUAAGCAAAAAUUUAACCAAAUUCAAAAAAAUCAAUGUCAGCGAAAUAACACAUGAAAUCAAAGCAUAAUUGAAAUAUUUUCACCACACACAACCACGAUACCAUCUUGGAUUAAUAAUAAUUCCAAAAAUAACUAAAAACCAAAUUCCAAAGUACCAUCGAAAAUUAAGGAAAGCUGAUAUCCAAGAAAAUUGUAAUUCGCCUGAAACCAAUUGGAAAGUUAACAACACAUCUGGCCAAAUAGCACGAGAUGACAAAUAUUUAGUGAAGAGAGAUAAUAAUAUCGUUUUUAUAUCUUACAGGAACCCCAGAAUCUGAAGAAAGGAAAGCUAUUAUGGAUCGAGCAGUAACCAUAUGUCUUGCAUCCGGAUCAAACUCACAUCCCCAUCAACGAAAUUGUUAUGAAACUCAACAAAAUUCUUAAGUGUUUACUGCUCAUAAUUCUCUACUGCAAUGACAAUCUCGCCAAGAACGAAAUUCAAAAUCCAAACUGCUAUCAAAAUCGAAUCGAAAUUCCCAACCAGCCAAACUGCCAGUGUCUUAAGCAACUGCCACGCCCCGUCGCAGCCCAACGAAGAGUCCUGUGCCCCAAGCAAAAAAUCCGGCCAGCAAAUCACACCGAAAUCCGACAGAAACUGCAAGGAAGGAAACCAAAAUUCAAGUCCAGGCGCAAACCAAAUAUCCAAGUACACUUUUGCUGGGGCCAAAGCCGACAAAGCUGAUGAUGAUGAACUCGAUGGCGAGGAGAAGGAUCGAGCAUUUGACGGCGAAAGGAGCAGAAGGACGAAAUGGAGCAGCGACGCCGACGCCGGCAGAAGCAGCAGAUAAUCAAGAGAAAGGAGAAAGCUGCCCCGCCGUAGAUAUCCAGCUGAAUAUCUAAGCAGGGGCAGUGAUUUACCCCAAGCAGCAAAAGCCACCCCUCGACAGGAAGCACACACACAUACAGCCCACAUCCUGCGGCGAAUUCACAAACAAGCACACACCGAGACACAGACAGAGAGAGAGAGAGUGAGAGAGAGCCGAAGCAGCAGCAAAGAGAGAGAGAGCGACUGAGUGCCCACCUUUUACUCUCCGAAUUUCGCAAGUAUGUUUUGACUACUGUUUAGAAUCUAAUUUCAAAAACAGAUUUGAGUAACCCCACUGGAGCCUUACUAAGUAAAAUUCCAAAAACAAAGAAUUCCAAUCACAUUUAAAAGUAUGCAAAUUCAAAAACCUAAAACCGAGCCAAAGGUGAGCCUCAUUUCACUCUCGUCAGCAGCCCAGAAGCAAAAUUUCAAAAUCCCACCGACACAACUCAAAAUCCAAAAACGAACUCUUCUUCUACGGCAUCGCAGAAGGCUUCAUUUCCAGAAGGCAAAGAAAGUAUCCCUGAAUAUCUUAUUUUCGUUAUUCAACCAAAGAGUUCGCCCCUGCCCCGCCAAAUUCCACACACACAAUGCAAUAGUUUAUCAUUUUGUGUCCCAAAACGCAAAUCGAAUGAAUACAAAUUCCAAAUUCGCGUUUCGUCAUUACAAAUCUUUAGUUAAACCACAAUAUAUUAAUGCAAAAAUCAAGCAAAUGCCAAAAGACAGUUUCGCAUGGCCCAGAGCUUUAGGCGCAAAUCAACCACCCAGCCACACUCACUCACACUCACACACACACACACACACACACUUUAGGAAACACACACACACGCGCAGGGGUAUGCUCACCCAUACACUCACCCAUCAAACACUCACACCCCUUUGGCAAUAAAAUGGCUGCAAAGGAAGCUGCUUCUACGAUUCCCAAGAAGAAAAGAAAUAGCCUGACCCCCCAAAAAGUUCGAUAGGAAAAUACAACGAAAGCGAGUUAUAGGUUAUAGGUUAGCGAAAGGACUAUAGCCAAACCAAACUCCAGUUAAACAACUCAAGCAUUUCUCAGCGCUUUCAAUAUUUCGUUGACAUUUUCAUUAAAGAAAGCAAAGGCGUUGCGGCAUUAUUUAAUCACACGUUUUUGAAAAUUUCAAAGAAAUAUUUAAUGCGCCAGAAGUGCUGAUAGAAAUUUGUACAGCAAACGACAGUACAAAACCCCAGGAAGUCAUUUAAGCCACCCCCAACCCUUAAGUACUCAAAAAUGUCUUCUGGUCAUUGACUUAGAAACAACUUCGACCGACCAAACCAACAUUCAAACGCAAACCUCAUUACGAUUAGUUCAGACAAAUCGAAAUCAAUAUACUGCCAAGCUUAUUCUAAAUACUACAUUCCGGUUAAAAAAUAGAAUCAUUUUUAAAAUAUCUUUGGUUUAUUUACCCACGCUUUAAAUUUACCAAAACGCGAUAUCACAACUAUUACAAUCACGAAAUUGCAAAAAUCGAUCCAAAUUCAAAAAAAGUUUUGCUUACACUAAAAAUAAUCGAACUUUAUUAUCCAAAUCAAGCCAAACAAAUUAAAUUCAUGAAAAUCUGUAAAAUACAAUCUCAAAAAACUUUGUUUUUGAAAAUAUUUUUUCAAAACUUCUUAUUCAAAUUCAACAUCAAAACAACUAAAUUAAAGCUCAUGUAUUACUCCUAAAUUUAAAAAGAAAAUAAUUAAAUUUAACUGGUCUACUAAAUUCAAAAAUAACACAUUUUUAGUAAAAAUGAAAAAAUUACAUUUUUCCGACAACACACUGAAGAAUUUUUAAAAAUAUUUAAAAAAUCCAAAUCGACAAUAAUUUUAUUAUUCGCUAUGCAUCAUGAAAAUAUAAAUCACGCAUCCAAAUUCAAAAAUAAUAUUCAAUUCAAAAAAACUACACUUAAAUUUUAAACCAAACUCAAAUUCUAAAACAAUAUAAGCCAACAAUUUAAAAGAAUUAAAUUAUUUUUUAUGACAGUACUGGAAAAUAUAAUGCACACACUAAAAAUAAAUCUUAAUUUUCAAAUUUCUGACAAAAUUCAAAAUUUAAAAUUUAAGAAAUCAUCCAAAAAAUUUUUGUUGUAUAAAAAUUGAUUGCACGAUAGAAAUUCAAAAUGAAAUAGAAUCAAAUAAUUCAAAAUCCGAAAAGGUUUUACUAUAAAAUCAAAGAGCAUAAAAUUGACAAAAUUCAAUCAAAAUCAAACCGUUAAAAGUCACAUAAAUAUCUACCAAAAUUC